UGAUGAGUAGCUUAAUGGUAAAGCACCCGGCUGUUAACCGGGCAAUUGUAGGUUCGAGUCCUACCUCAUCAGCCA
rnacentral:tRNA from 1 species